rnacentral:misc_RNA from 1 species
UGGCCUGAAGCUUCAAUGCUUCUUAUGCCUUGCAUCCUCGCAUAAGCCUUAAUCAAUAUCUCAUAACUCUUCCCACUUGAAUGAAAACUAACAUUUCUCAUUGUAAUCCUCAUAAUCUCUAAAGCUUCUUUUUUUCUUCUCACAAAGCCCUUCAAUCAACAAAUCACUGUGGAAGCUUCAGGUCUAAAAUCUUUCCUACAUAUCUUUGUAGACAAUAAUGGCUGAAUCAACAUCACCAACUCUGCAGUAGCCAUUGAUUAGGUGCUCA